GUACGGAAGGCAGCAGUGGGGAAUAUUGCGCAAUGGACGAAAGUCUGACGCAGCGACGCCGCGUGUGGGAUGAAGCUCUUCGGGGUGUAAACCACUGUUGCCCGGGACGAACCUCCCCUUUCGAGGGGACUGACGGUACCGGGUGAGGAAGCACCGGCUAACUCUGUGCCAGCAGCCGCGGUAAUACAGAGGGUGCGAGCGUUGUCCGGAAUCACUGGGCGUAAAGGGCGCGUAGGUGGCUUGGUAAGCGUGUGGUGAAAGUCCGGGGCUCAACCCCGGAUCUGCCGUGCGAACUGCCGAGCUCGAGCAUUGUAGAGGCAGGUGGAAUUCCGGGUGUAGCGGUGGAAUGCGUAGAGAUCCGGAAGAACACCAGUGGCGAAGGCGGCCUGCUGGGCAAUUGCUGACACUGAGGCGCGACAGCGUGGGGAGCAAACAGGAUUAGAUACCCCGGUAGC
rnacentral:rRNA from 1 species